UUCGACACGGUGGCAAAAAUCAGGUAUCAAUCUUCUUCAUCUCUGACUUCUUCACUUUUUGUUGCGUUGUCGUUUGCUCUCUGCACGAAUUGCGAGGUUCUGAGUGUGAGAGUUGCGAGUUGCUUGAUUGAUUGAAUCAUGAUGUUUGUGUUCUAUGUGAUUUGUUCGUUUGUGUGCUUUGAACGCGUGAAGAAUGCUAAGAUUCGAUUUGUGUAUGAAUGAGAGAAGAAGAAUUUGGAUAUGUGAAGAAAGAUUUUUGUGCCUCUUUGAUGAAUGAUUGAAGCCUUUGUUUUGUGAGUGCAGAAUUUCAUUUAUAGAGAUUUGAAUUCAUUUAUGAAAUUCACCUCCAAAUUCACAUGAAAAUCAUGGUAGUUGCAAAUGAAUAAAAUGGUUAGAGUUAGUUAUUGACUUAAAUUCAGUUAGUUAAUUAGGUGUGAACUUCAAAUUAAUGCAUUUGGUUUUGAUUUGAUUUUGUAUUAGUGCUUGAAUACUUACAGUGGGACUUUGAAAUCUGACUUGCUAUAAGGUUAUAAGGUUAAGACUUUGUUAAUUGUUCAUUAGAGUGAGUUAUUUGCAGGUUGGAGGUUAUCGUGAGUUUGAACUCGUUAGUUUGUAAAUGGUAUGCUAAUUGGUUCAAAGUGGAUCAAUUGAAAGUAGUUUUGUUAAUUGGCUUUUGAUUUGUGUAGGGUAUGCUAAUUGGAGUUGAAUUUUGUAGGGAUAUCAAUGGGGAAUUUGGCUAAGUCAACGAAUACUUCAAAAUUGUAUUUGGAAGGCUCUUGUUGAAAUUUAAUUGCUUUCUUAAAAUUGAAGUUAACUGAUGCAAGUGUUUUGCAGGGUGUAAUGAAAAAAUUGCUUGUGAAGUCAUGCUUGCAUUGACACACAUCUAUUUGUAAAAUAUCCUUUAAAUUGCUUUGAAUGAAAUUGGAAUUAGUUGUGUACUAGUUUGUGUUAAAUGGACUUUGAUUUAUAGCUCUAGUAAUUAAUUUGUAAUCAAAGAUUGGUUGGAAAUGAA
rnacentral:lncRNA from 1 species